AGCGUACACGGUGGAUGCCCUGGCAGUCAGAGGCGAUGAAGGACGUGCUAAUCUGCGAUAAGCGUCGGUAAGGUGAUAUGAACCGUUAUAACCGGCGAUUUCCGAAUGGGGAAACCCAGUGUGUUUCGACACACUAUCAUUAACUGAAUCCAUAGGUUAAUGAGGCGAACCGGGGGAACUGAAACAUCUAAGUACCCCGAGGAAAAGAAAUCAACCGAGAUUCCCCCAGUAGCGGCGAGCGAACGGGGAGCAGCCCAGAGCCUGAAUCAGUGUGUGUGUUAGUGGAAGCGUCUGGAAAGGCGCGCGAUACAGGGUGACAGCCCCGUACACAAAAAUGCACAUAUUGUGAGCUCGAUGAGUAGGGCGGGACACGUGGUAUCCUGUCUGAAUAUGGGGGGACCAUCCUCCAAGGCUAAAUACUCCUGACUGACCGAUAGUGAACCAGUACCGUGAGGGAAAGGCGAAAAGAACCCCGGCGAGGGGAGUGAAAAAGAACCUGAAACCGUGUACGUACAAGCAGUGGGAGCACGCUUAGGCGUGUGACUGCGUACCUUUUGUAUAAUGGGUCAGCGACUUAUAUUCUGUAGCAAGGUUAACCGAAUAGGGGAGCCGAAGGGAAACCGAGUCUUAACUGGGCGUUAAGUUGCAGGGUAUAGACCCGAAACCCGGUGAUCUAGCCAUGGGCAGGUUGAAGGUUGGGUAACACUAACUGGAGGACCGAACCGACUAAUGUUGAAAAAUUAGCGGAUGACUUGUGGCUGGGGGUGAAAGGCCAAUCAAACCGGGAGAUAGCUGGUUCUCCCCGAAAGCUAUUUAGGUAGCGCCUCGUGAAUUCAUCUCCGGGGGUAGAGCACUGUUUCGGCAAGGGGGUCAUCCCGACUUACCAACCCGAUGCAAACUGCGAAUACCGGAGAAUGUUAUCACGGGAGACACACGGCGGGUGCUAACGUCCGUCGUGAAGAGGGAAACAACCCAGACCGCCAGCUAAGGUCCCAAAGUCAUGGUUAAGUGGGAAACGAUGUGGGAAGGCCCAGACAGCCAGGAUGUUGGCUUAGAAGCAGCCAUCAUUUAAAGAAAGCGUAAUAGCUCACUGGUCGAGUCGGCCUGCGCGGAAGAUGUAACGGGGCUAAACCAUGCACCGAAGCUGCGGCAGCGACGCUGAUGCGUUGUUGGGUAGGGGAGCGUUCUGUAAGCCUGCGAAGGUGUGCUGUGAGGCAUGCUGGAGGUAUCAGAAGUGCGAAUGCUGACAUAAGUAACGAUAAAGCGGGUGAAAAGCCCGCUCGCCGGAAGACCAAGGGUUCCUGUCCAACGUUAAUCGGGGCAGGGUGAGUCGACCCCUAAGGCGAGGCCGAAAGGCGUAGUCGAUGGGAAACAGGUUAAUAUUCCUGUACUUGGUGUUACUGCGAAGGGGGGACGGAGAAGGCUAUGUUGGCCGGGCGACGGUUGUCCCGGUUUAAGCGUGUAGGCUGGUUUUCCAGGCAAAUCCGGAAAAUCAAGGCUGAGGCGUGAUGACGAGGCACUACGGUGCUGAAGCAACAAAUGCCCUGCUUCCAGGAAAAGCCUCUAAGCAUCAGGUAACAUCAAAUCGUACCCCAAACCGACACAGGUGGUCAGGUAGAGAAUACCAAGGCGCUUGAGAGAACUCGGGUGAAGGAACUAGGCAAAAUGGUGCCGUAACUUCGGGAGAAGGCACGCUGAUAUGUAGGUGAAGUCCCUCGCGGAUGGAGCUGAAAUCAGUCGAAGAUACCAGCUGGCUGCAACUGUUUAUUAAAAACACAGCACUGUGCAAACACGAAAGUGGACGUAUACGGUGUGACGCCUGCCCGGUGCCGGAAGGUUAAUUGAUGGGGUCAGCGCAAGCGAAGCUCUUGAUCGAAGCCCCGGUAAACGGCGGCCGUAACUAUAACGGUCCUAAGGUAGCGAAAUUCCUUGUCGGGUAAGUUCCGACCUGCACGAAUGGCGUAAUGAUGGCCAGGCUGUCUCCACCCGAGACUCAGUGAAAUUGAACUCGCUGUGAAGAUGCAGUGUACCCGCGGCAAGACGGAAAGACCCCGUGAACCUUUACUAUAGCUUGACACUGAACAUUGAGCCUUGAUGUGUAGGAUAGGUGGGAGGCUUUGAAGUGUGGACGCCAGUCUGCAUGGAGCCGACCUUGAAAUACCACCCUUUAAUGUUUGAUGUUCUAACGUUGACCCGUAAUCCGGGUUGCGGACAGUGUCUGGUGGGUAGUUUGACUGGGGCGGUCUCCUCCUAAAGAGUAACGGAGGAGCACGAAGGUUGGCUAAUCCUGGUCGGACAUCAGGAGGUUAGUGCAAUGGCAUAAGCCAGCUUGACUGCGAGCGUGACGGCGCGAGCAGGUGCGAAAGCAGGUCAUAGUGAUCCGGUGGUUCUGAAUGGAAGGGCCAUCGCUCAACGGAUAAAAGGUACUCCGGGGAUAACAGGCUGAUACCGCCCAAGAGUUCAUAUCGACGGCGGUGUUUGGCACCUCGAUGUCGGCUCAUCACAUCCUGGGGCUGAAGUAGGUCCCAAGGGUAUGGCUGUUCGCCAUUUAAAGUGGUACGCGAGCUGGGUUUAGAACGUCGUGAGACAGUUCGGUCCCUAUCUGCCGUGGGCGCUGGAGAACUGAGGGGGGCUGCUCCUAGUACGAGAGGACCGGAGUGGACGCAUCACUGGUGUUCGGGUUGUCAUGCCAAUGGCACUGCCCGGUAGCUAAAUGCGGAAGAGAUAAGUGCUGAAAGCAUCUAAGCACGAAACUUGCCCCGAGAUGAGUUCU
rnacentral:rRNA from 1 species